rfam:Triticum aestivum genome assembly, contig: Triticum_aestivum_CS42_TGACv1_scaffold_405815_5BL
CAAGUACUCCCUCUGUUCGGAAUUACUUGUCAUCAAAAUGGAUGUGUCUAGAACCAAAAUACAUCUAGAUACAUCCAUUUCAAUGACAAGUAUUUCCAGACGGAGGGAGUACAAG